AGUGAACGUUGGCGGCGUGGAUUAGGCAUGCAAGUCGAGCGAUCGUAGCAAUACGGGAGCGGCAAACGGGGUAGGAAUACAUCGGAACGUACCUUUUGGUUGAGAAUAGCGUUGGGAAACUGACGGUAAUACUCAAUAAAGUCGAGAGACCAAAGGUUUACUGCCGGAAGAGCGGCCGAUGCGAUAUUAGGUAGUUGGUGGGGUAAUGGCCUACCAAGCCUGAGAUGUCUAGGGGGUGUGAGAGCAUGGCCCCCACCACUGGGACUGAGAUACUGCCCAGACACCUACGGGUGGCUGCAGUCGAGGAUCUUCGUCAAUGGGCGAAAGCCUGAUGCAGCGACGCCGCGUGAGGGAAGACGGUUUUCGGAUUGUAAACCUCUGUCUUCGGGGACGAAACAAGACGGUACCCGAGGAGGAAGCCACGGCUAACUACGUGCCAGCAGCCGACGGUAAACGUAGCGUG
rnacentral:rRNA from 1 species